AUUGAACGCUGGCGGAAUGCUUUACACAUGCAAGUCGGGCGGCAGCACGGGGGCAACCCUGGUGGCGAGCGGCGAACGGGUGAGUAAUACAUCGGAACGUACCCUGUCGUGGGGGAUAACGAAUCGAAAGAUUCGCUAAUACCGCAUACGACCUGAGGGUGAAAGCGGGGGAUCGCAAGACCUCGCGCGAUAGGAGCGGCCGAUGUCGGAUUAGCUAGUUGGUAGGGUAAAGGCCUACCAAGGCGACGAUCCGUAGCGGGUCUGAGAGGACGGCCCGCCACACUGGGACUGAGACACGGCCCAGACUCCUACGGGAGGCAGCAGUGGGGAAUUUUGGACAAUGGGGGCAACCCUGAUCCAGCCAUUCCGCGUGAGUGAUGAAGGCCCUAGGGUUGUAAAGCUCUUUCAACGGUGAAGAUAAUGACGGUAACCGUAGAAGAAGCCCCGGCUAACUACGUG
rnacentral:rRNA from 1 species